rnacentral:rRNA from 1 species
ACUUUAUUUUAAUAUAUAAAUUUUUAAUUUUGAUAAUUAUUUAUAUAUUUAUGUAUUAAAAUUUUGUUGGGGUGACAGGAAAAUAUUUUUAACUUUUCUUUUAUUUCUUCAUAAAUUAAUGUAUUUUUGAUCCAAUAUUUUUGAUUAUAAGAUUAAGU